GUCGCGUUCAGUAUAUUAAAUUCGUGAUGUGUACCGCUUUUGAAAUGCAUUAUUCACAGGCCAGCUUACUGUCAAAACUGCUAAGUGCUAUGGCAAACGCUUGGAGUGCACACAAGGGGAAUCGAUAAUCCAUUGAAGCCAUAAAAAAUCUUUACGUGAUCGAGUCAAACUUACCGUCUGUAUCGUGAACUACUUGAAAGUUUUUUACUGAGGCCUGUGUAACGCGACCAUGAAAAUUGAGGACGUACGAUUGCGUGUCGUCAUUCCAUACUGGCGUUUUAUUAUUUUCAGAUUCGUCCCGAGGACAAAUUUCAACUCUCCUUUGGUCGGGAGUCAUUCCAGGAAUGAUAACAGUCAUUUUUCGAGGUCCCUUGAA